ensembl:lncRNA
CAGAUCCUGACGUCGUGACUACCUGCACUGCAACCACCGUUUCUAGCGAAGCGAGGAAAAGCCCAGAGUCGUACAUUCGCCUACUGGCCAGUGUCUUAUACAGGUCCACGACGCCAGGUUCUCGGUGACGCCGGGAAAAAGAACACAGCGCAACAUUGAAGGUGAAUAUAAAGCAGCCAGAAACACUUUGCGUUGAAUAAUCGAUUUUAGUUUGACACUGCUCAAAGUAAGGAAAAGGACAGACGUGUCCUAUGUAAUAUGCUCGCCCGUGUAAGACGAAACAACCUGCCCUGUGGGGGCCCGUUUCGCAACAUAAGCAAGGGUUGGUAGCCAGUAUAUCUCACGCUCGCCUGCGUAAGACGGAUUAACACGCCCAGGGAGGCUUAAUCCGCAGCAAAACAAAAGGUUGGUAGCCACGCUCGCCUGUGUAAGACGGAUUACCAUGCCCUGAGAGGCUCAAUCCGCAACAAAAAAAAGGUUGGUAGCCAGAGAAGCGAGAGUGUCAAAUAAAAUAGGAUUUUUCUCUAAGCGC